UUCCGGUUGAUCCUGCCGGAGGUCAUUGCUAUUGGAGUCCGAUUUAGCCAUGCUAGUUGCACGAGUUUAGACUCGUAGCAGAUAGCUCAGUAACACGUGGCCAAACUACCCUAUGGAUCCGGAUACCCUCGGGAAACUGAGACUAAUCUGGAAUAGCGUUCAUCGCCUGGAGUGGCACGAACGCGAAACGUUACGGCGCCAUAGGAUGUGGCUGCGGCCGAUUAGGUAGACGGUGGGGUAACGGCCCACCGUGCCCAUAAUCGGUACGGGUUGUGAGAGCAAGAGCCCGGAGACGGUAUCUGAGACAAGAUACCGGGCCCUACGGGGCGCAGCAGGCGCGAAACCUUUACACUGCACGCGAGUGCGAUAAGGGGACUCCAAGUGCGAGGGCAUAUAGUCCUCGCUUUUCGCGACCGUAAGGAGGUCGCAGAAUAAGUGCUGGGCAAGACCGGUGCCAGCCGCCGCGGUAAUACCGGCAGCACGAGUGAUGACCGCUAUUAUUGGGCCUAAAGCGUCCGUAGCUGGCCACGCAAGUUCGUCGGGAAAUCUGCGCGCUUAACGCGCAGGCGUCCGGUGGAAACUGCAUGGCUUGGGACCGGAAGACCAGAGGGGUACGUCCGGGGUAGGAGUGAAAUCCCGUAAUCCUGGACGGACCACCGGUGGCGAAAGCGCCUCUGGAAGACGGAUCCGACGGUGAGGGACGAAAGCUCGGGUCACGAACCGGAUUAGAUACCCGGGUAGUCCGAGCUGUAAACGAUGUCUGCUAAGUUUGGUACAGGCCACGAGCCUGUACUGAGCUGUAGGGAAGCCGUGAAGCAGACCGCCUGGGAAGUACGUCCGCAAGGAUGAAACUUAAAGGAAUUGGCGGGGGAGCACUACAACCGGAGGAGCCUGCGGUUUAAUUGGAUUCAACGCCGGA
rnacentral:rRNA from 1 species